AUUGAACGCUGGCGGCAGGCCUAACACAUGCGAGUCGAGCGGGAUUUACCUUCGGGUAAUGAGAGCGGCGGACGGGUGAGUAAUGCUUGGGAAUCUACCUAGUAGUGGGGGACAACAGUUGGAAACGACUGCUAAUACCGCAUACGCCCUACGGGGGAAAGGGGGGGGUCUUCGGACCUCUUGCUAUUAGAUGAGCCCAAGUCGGAUUAGCUAGUUGGUGGGGUAAAGGCCUACCAAGGCGACGAUCCGUAACUGGUUUGAGAGGAUGAUCAGCCACACUGGGACUGGGACACGGCCCAGACUCCGACGGGAGGCAGCAGUGGGGAAUAUUGGACAAUGGGCGCAAGCCUGGUCCAGCCAUGCCGCGUGUGUGAAGAAGGCCCUAGGGUUGUAAAGCACUUUAAGUAGGGAGGAAGGUCUGGUAAUUAAUACUUAUCAGGAUUGACGUUACCUACAGAAUAAGCACCGGCUAACUCCGUGCCAGCAGCCGCCGUAA
rnacentral:rRNA from 1 species